AUGAAUGUCUUUAAAAAGGGCAGUUGUCCAGUAAUUUCAAGGUGCACCAGGUGUGUACCAUGUUACCAUUAUAACACAGCACAGAAUAAGAACAUGGAGGACAGCCUAAGAAAAAUUGUAUCACCAAGUGAUCAGUUAACCUUCAAUGGUUAUGGUCUGAUAGUACUUGGUACACCUCCACAGUCCCUAAAUGAUAGUGAAAGACACACCUGUGAUAUUACACAAAUAGACCAAGUACACUACCCCAGCCAAGGUUCAGUGAUUGACAUGACAGCCCUACGAAAUGUGCAGCCAAACAGGGCAUGCUGGAUCCAUCCACAAAGCAGUGACCAAAUAUUGAUGGUAUGUUGAAUUUUUUGCAUUUUUAUGCAAAGUGUAUAAUCAUACUUACACUUCGUUUUUCUAGAUAAAAAAUGCUUUAAAUGAAAAGGAAUCACAACAACAAUUUUUGGCACAAGUAGGAGUACCAAUUCUGAACAGAUCAGAUUUUUUUUUACCUUGGGACAUCCAAAUGAUGUUGAAGGGACUGUG
ensembl:lncRNA